CUUGUUCAUCUGGCUCUCCCCACCCUCCUACUUUCAGACUUAUCCUUCUAGGUCAGCAAAUCUGGAGAGCCUCUCCUCUUGAUCUAGGGUCAUUAUUACAAUGAAGGGAAGAAAGGAAGACAUGAAGGGGAAAUGGGACUAUUUACCAAGUGUAUCUGCAUAGACUAAAGGAGACAAGAGGAAGUACUGAGCACCUUGAUUCCUGCAGAUAAUUAUUUAAGAACCAUAAGAAUUCUUUCCUAGCUUCUCAUAAGCCUGCUCCUUCAAAGGGUUAACUGCAGUGAAUCAAACUAUUGGAUUAUAAUUCCAUGAAGUAAGUUUAUUGAAGACAAACAGGCCUUGGGCCGCUGCCUCUGUCUCUCCUGCCUUCCCCACUGAAUCUCCAGCCCACAUUCACAAACAAAGACAAACCUGUGUAAACUGAAGCACCACAAAACUACUUUUAUGAAAGCAGAAUGGAAGAUUUCACCUGCAUUUCCUACAUUCAACUGAAUCCUUUAAAUUGACUGAGGCACAUCCUGUACCAAGGAGAGACCUUUGUUACUGCCUUUGAUCCUGAGACCUUCUGAGCCAGCCUCCUUGGUAUAACCACGCAUUUACGGAAGAUGACGUUACCAGCAGCCCUGGGGUAAGUCUCAGUCAUCCGAAGCCAGUCUUGGUAAUCCCAGCAGACUAGCAAGGGAACACAACCUAGUUCUGUCAAGUGGAAAGUG
rnacentral:lncRNA from 1 species